CGGGGGCGCGCCCGCGCUGGGUCACGCCGCGCUCGCCGCCCCCUCCCCUGCACUCCGCUCCCCUCACAGCCGGCGGCCGCGGCUGAGGGGCCGCCUACGCCAUGGUGCUGGAGUCAGUGGUGGCGGAUCUGCUGAACCGCUUCCUGGGCGACUAUGUGGAGAACCUGAACAAGUCUCAGCUCAAGCUGGGCAUAUGGGGGGGUAAUGUGGCACUUGAAAAUUUACAGAUAAAGGAGAAUGCAUUAAGUGAACUGGAUGUACCUUUUAGAGUAAAAGUUGGUCAGAUAGAUAAACUUACUCUGAAGAUUCCUUGGAAGAAUCUCUAUGGGGAGGCAGUUGUUGCAACUCUAGAAGGCUUGUAUCUUCUGAUAGUUCCUGGAGCAAGUGUUAAAUAUGAUGCAGAGAAGGAAGAAAAAUAUUUGCAGGAUAAUAAACAAAAAGAACUGGCAAGAAUUGAGGAAGCCUUGCGAAAAGCAGCAGAAAAAGGCACACAUUCACAAGAUUCCUUGUAUGGUUUGGAGAGUCUCGUUUACAAGGAUACCAAGCCUGGACGUAAGCGUAAAAAGUACAAAAAGCAUUUUAAGAGACCCUUUAGAGGUCGUGAUCACUCAAAAGACAAACCAAAGGAGGAGAAGAAGGAUACUUUCUUAGAAAAGCUUGCAACUCAAGUUAUAAAAAAUGUGCAAGUCAAAAUCACAGGCAUUCAUGUUAAAUAUGAAGAUGAUAUCACAGACCCCAAGUGUCCGAUUUCCUUGGGAAUGACGUUGGGCGAGCUUAGUUUACUGACAACAAACGAGAACUGGACACCUUCUAUUUUGAAUGAAGCUGCAAAAAUAAUAUACAAGCUUCUGUGCCUGGACAGCCUCAGUGCUUAUUGGAACAUACACAGCAAAAUGUAUUAUCAUGGCUCCCGUGAACAAAUACUGGAUCAGCUGAAAAGAGGAAUUCCUUGUGAUGGUAACCAGCCUGAAGACUACCAGUACAUUUUCAGGCCAGUGUCAGCCUCUGCAAGACUCUAUAUCAACCCAUAUGCAGAAGUAGAACUGAAAACUCCUAAGAUUGAUUGUAAUGUAGAAGUACAGAGAAUUGUCAUUGAAUUCACUAAGCCACAGUACCUCAGUAUGAUAGACCUGCUGGAGUCCAUAGAUUACAUGGUUCGCAAUGCACCGUACAGAAGAUUUAGGCCAAAUGUACCUCUCCAUAAAAAUGCCAGGGAAUGGUGGAAAUAUGCAGGUAACAGUGUUCUUGAAGUUCACAUCAGAAGACAUAGUCGAAUGUGGUCCUGGAGUAACAUAAAACAGCACAGGCAGCAUCUGAAAACUUACAAAAAUGUGUACAAGAACAAGCUAACACAAAGUAAACUGUCAGAAGAAACACAGAGGCAAAUUCAGGACCUAGAAAGAAAACUUGACGUCUUCAAUACAGUUUUAGCAAGACAACAAGCACAAGUUGAGACAAUAAGAUCAGGACAAAAAUUACUGAAGAAGAAAAGCACUGAAGCAGAAAAGAAAAGUGGAGGAUGGUUUGGUGGUUUCUGGAGUAAAAGAGAAUCUAGGGUUAAAGAAGAUGAAGAAUCACUUGUACCUGAGACUAUUGAUGAACUAAUGACACCAGAAGAAAAAGCCAAACUUUUUACUGCUAUUGGAUAUAGUGACAGCUCCCAUCACCUUUCAUUACCAAAGCAGUAUGUUGCCCAUGUUGUGACAUUGAAGCUGUUAAGCACUUCUCUUACAAUUAAAGAAGACAAGAAUGUGGCAGAAACUUUAAAAGUACAGAUAAUUGAUCUGAGUACCAAAAUAUCACAGCGCCCAGGAGCACAAGCCAUUAAGGUUGAAGCAAAGCUUGAAAACUGGUAUGUUACAGGCCUGAGACAAGAAAACAUUGUACCAUCUCUUGUGGCUUCCAUAGGGGAUAGCAGAUCUUCUCUGCUUAAGAUUGAGUUUGAUAUUAACCCAGAGGACAGCACAGCUGACCAGAGACUUAUUAUUGAGUCACAGCCUGUGGAAAUAAAAUAUGAUGCUGCAACAAUAAAUGCAAUGGUAGAAUUCUUUCAGACAAGUAAGGGAAUGGAUCUUGAAAGAUUAACAACAGCCACAUUAAUGAAACUGGAAGAAAUCAAGGAAAGAACUGCUACAGGAUUAGUUCAUAUUAUUGAGAUGCGGAAAGUCCUUGACUUGAAGAUUAAUCUGAAACCUUCCUACCUGGUGGUUCCACAGACUGGUUUCUACCAUGAAAAUUCAGAUUUGCUGAUUUUGGACUUCGGUACAUUUCAGCUGAACAGCAUAAAUCAAGACAGUAGUGAAGCUUCUAACUUUUCAUCUUUAGAGGAGAUUAUGGACAAAGCUUAUGACAAAUUUGAUGUGAAAAUUAAAAAUGUGCAACUUCUUUUUGGAAGAACAGGUGAAGACUGGAAGAAGGCUCGUUUUCAACAUCCAUCAACUUUGCACAUUUUGCAGCCUAUGGAUAUUCAUGUACAGCUGGCAAAAUCAAUGGUGGAAAGAGAUUCCAGGAUGGCAAAGUUUAAAGUGUCAGGAGGACUUCCUUUGGUGCAUGUCAGGCUCUCUGACCAGAAAAUCAAGGCUAUCUUUGAUCUGAUUGAUAGCAUUCCACUGCCUCAGAAAUCAUCUAUAUCAGUUCCAAGCACAAAGGUACCAGCUAUUCCCACAAUUCCUGUUGUUGGUAAAGGGUUACUUAAUACACCCCAGUUGUUAGCAGAAAUAGUGUCAGACACCGAAGAAGAAUAUUUUGAUUUUGAUGAAAGCUCUGAACCAACUGACAGCUCAGUAAUUAAAGGAGAAGAAGUAAGAAAAGAGGAGCCUGCUGAGGAGGAACUGACAAAUCUUCAGCUGAAGUUUGAAAUUAAAGAGGUUUUAGUAGAACUCACCAGACAAAAGACAACUGAGGAAACAGUACUUGUAUUUGAUGUAAUGCAUCUUGGGACAGAAGCUACUGUCAAAACCUAUAAUUUAGCAGCUGUAUCUUACUUGAAGAAAAUAAGCUUGGAUUACUAUGGAAUUGGAGGUAAAAAAGCACCCAUUCAUCUAAUUAGUUCCUCAGACAAGCCUGGCUUAGACCUUCUGAAGGUGGAAUAUAUCAAGGCUGACAGAAAUGGGCCACAGUUUCAAACAAUUUUUAACAACACUGAACAGAUGAUUCAAGUAACUUUUUCAUCAUUGAACCUCCUGUUGCAUACAGAGGCCCUUAUGUCUGCUGUCAGUUUUUUAACAGCUGUUAGUCCAUCAGGCAGUGAAAGAAGCAGAGAGAUACCAUCCAAAGAAGAAAAGCAAGAAGAUGACUCUAUAUUGAAGAAAGUGUCUAAACCUUCCAAGGAAACGGAUGUGUUUGACUUCAAGCUUUUUGCCAAGCUGGAUGCCUUCUGUUUAAAUAUUUGUGAUGAAAAAAAGAACAUUGCAGAGAUCAAGAUCCAAGGUCUUGACUCAUCUCUUUGCCUUCAGCCAAGUCACACUGUAUUCUUUGCUCGACUUAAGGACAUUGUUGUCACAGAUGUUGAUUCAAGGACCCUUCAUAAAAAAGCUGUGUCUAUAGUGGGAGAUGAAGUCUUCAGUUUCAAUCUAACAUUAAAUCCUCAUGCUACUGAAGGAGAAGCCUACACUGACAUGUCAAAAGUGGAUGGUACCAUAUGUUUGAAAGUGGGCUGCAUCCAGCUGGUGUACGUUCACAAAUUUCUCAUCUCUCUCCUGACUUUCUUGAACAACUUCCAGACAGCCAAGGAGACCCUGAGUGCUGCCACAGUCCAAGCUGCAGAAAAGGCUGCUACCAGUGUGAAAGACCUGGCCCAAAGGAGUUUUCGGCUUGGAAUGGACAUUCACUUGAAAGCACCAGUUAUAGUUAUCCCCCAGUCCUCCAUUUCCCCCAAUGCAAUAGUAAUAGAUCUUGGCUUGAUUAAGGUUCAGAACCAGUUUGUCUUGGUGUCCUCAGAAGGCAGUUCACUCCCUCCAGUCAUUGACAAAAUGGAUGUGCAGCUGACAAAACUGAAACUCUCAAGGAUCACUUUGGAGACAGAUUUGUCACAUCCAGAUAUUCAGAUACUUCACCCUAUUAAUUUAAGCCUGUCUGUGAAACGAAAUCUUGCUGCAGCUUGGUUUCACAAGUUACCAGUGUUGGAGGUCACAGGGUUUCUGGAUACAAUGAAUGUUGUGUUAACUCAAGAGGAUUUGAAUGUCUUUCUCAACGUGUUGAUGGAGAACCUGGGUGAAGCAGAAACAACUCAAAUGGAUGCAAAAUCAGUACUGCAAAAGGAAGGUAAAAUGAAAGAGCAGGAGAGAUUGGCUUUGACACAGGAUAAGAGUGUUCCAGAAGGAAUGCUGUCUGAAAAGAGAAAAACAAUGUUAAAUGAAGAUGUAAUCAAUAUGCUACUUAACUUUGAAAUCAAAGAGGUUGUAAUAACCUUGAUGAAGCAGGUUCAGAAGGAGAGAUAUCCGUUACAUAUUCUAACUGUGCUACAGCUUGGAACCAAAACCAAAAUUAGAAAUCAUGAAUUGGCUGCAGCAGCAUAUCUGAAAAAAAUUACAAUGAGAUGCACUGAAAUAAAUGACUCAAAAGGAGAUCCUCUUUGCAUUCUUAAUUCCUCAAGUGAGACAGAUGAACAUCUUUUGAAAAUGGAAUAUAUUAAGGCUGAUCCUGAUGGACCAGACUUUGUUACUACUUACCAAAGCAACAAACAAAACAUCAAUGUCAUCUUUUCAUGUUUGGAUAUAGUACUUCACACAGAGGCUUUGCUUUCCAUCAUGAGUUUCCUCACCUUCAGAGUUCCAUCAGGUGGUCUUCCCAGUACUGAUAAAUCAUCAGACCACAAGCCUCAAAUGAAAGAACAGGAAAAAGGAAGUACUUUUAGACCAGUGUCUGGUGAUGCAGCCCACGAUGAUGUCUGUGAAUUAAAACUCACUGCAAAGCUGAAUGCAUUCAGUAUUACAGUGUGUGAUCAGACCUGUAGAAUUGCAGACAUUAGAAUACAAGGAAUGGAUGCAUCUGUGGCUAAGAAGCCUAAAAAGAUUAAAGUGUUCUCCAGACUUGAAGACAUUGUAAUUACAAAUGUUGAUCCAAAAACAAUCCAUAAAAAGGCUGUCUGCAUAAUGGGAGAUGAAGUGUUUCGAUUUCACAUGUCACUUUAUCCAGAUGCCACUGCAGGGGAAGCCUACACUGAUAUGUCAAGGGUGGAUGGUAAAAUGUCUCUGAAAGUGGGCUGCAUCCAAAUAAUUUACCUACAUAAGUUCUUUAUGUCUCUCUUGAACUUCCUAAACAAUUUCCAAGCAGCACAAGAAGCCCUGACUGCAGUCACUGUCCAGGCUGCAGAAAUGGCUGCUUCCAGCAUGAAGGACUUUGCUAAAAAGAGCUUCCGCCUUCUAAUGGAUGUCAACUUGAAAGCUCCAGUCAUAAUUAUCCCUGAAUCUUCAGCUUCAUGUAAUGCUUUGAUAGCUGAUCUUGGCUUAAUCAGAGUUCAGAAUGAAUUCAAGCUGGUGUCUUCAGAUGAAUCUUCUCUUCCUCCAGUCAUUGACAACAUGGAUGUGCAACUGACUCACUUGAAAUUAUCAAGGUGCAUUAUAUCUGCAGAUUCACAGCCAGAUUCUGAAAUUCUGUGUCCUGUGAGUUUGACUUUACUGGUCCAGAGAAAUUUAGCAGCAGCAUGGUAUCAUAAAAGCCCAACAAUUGGUAUCAAAGGAGACCUGAAACCAAUGCAGAUUGCACUCAGUGAAGAUGAUCUAACUGUUAUAAUGAAAAUUUUACUUGAAAACCUUGGAGGGGCUUCUUCCCAGCCAAAUACUCUGCAAGAGAAUAUUGAGGAUACUCAGAUAUCUAAAAAAGGGAAAGCUCCACAUGAAUCUGGUGGCUCUGAGGGUGCCCUUGUUGAUUCUGGACAAAAAAGUGUUUCUGCAGUUCAGUCUUCUUUGGAAUGUUAUACAUUGCUUAAAUUUGACUUCAAUUUUGAGUCCCUUUCUGUAACUCUCUACAACAGUGACACAACUCAGGAAUCUGUGCUCUUGGUGCAUAGUGACAAAUUGCGCCUUGGUGAGCUCCGGCUGCAUCUCAUGGCAUCGGCAGGGGAGAUGUUCUCAGAUGGCUCCAUGGAUAUCAGUGUUAAACUCAAAGCAUGUACCUUGGAUGAUCUCAGAGAAGGAAUUCAGAAUGUGACUGCAAGAAUGAUAGACAAGAAAGAUGACACAAAUGAGAGUUCCAUGAUAGAUAUAAGAUAUAAGCAGGAUAAAAAUGGAACUCAAGUUGUUGCUGUCCUCGACAAGCUGUACAUAUGUGCCAGUAUGGAAUUUUUGUUGGCAGUAGCACAUUUUUUCAUUAAGUCAAUGCCAGUAUCUUCAGCUGAAGGAUCUGCACAGUUCCAGUUAAAGCAAGUUACUUCUGGAAAAUCCAAGGCAGCAACAGAAAUAUCUGUACGGCCAAACAUGACAGUAAAAGCUGUGAUUAUGGAUCCAGAAGUUGUAUUUGUUGCUAAUUUGACCAAUGCUGAUGCCCCUGCCUUAAAAGUUUCCUUCCAAUGUGACUUUUUUCUGACAUCAGACAAGCUUGCACAAAGGAUGACUGCUCAAGUGAAGGCCUUCAAAGUGUUGGCCUGUGCCUUUCUCAAAGAAAAACAGGGCAAGAACGUUACUACGGUGUUGCGGCCGUGCUCCUUGGUCAUGGAAAAUAUGAUGCACACUUCAGGGUUACACACUGUGGCAGUAACAAUAGAGGAACUAACUAUUAAGAUAUCACCAAUAAUUUUGAAUACUGUCAUGACCAUUAUGGCUGCCCUAAAACCCAAAACAGCUGAGGAUGAUUCUAGAGGAGCACCAGAAGUUUCUGAGAAUUUGUGGCAAGUGAAGCCUGUAGAUGAAUGCAAUGCUUGGUUUCUUGGUGUUGACAUAGCCACAGAAGCAACAGAAACUUUUAUGGACCGUGAACAAAUUCUGAAGCAAGAGAAGUUUGACAUCGUAGUGAAAUCUGUUCAGAUGACCUUGGAAUGUGGUCUGGGACAUCGAACUGUCCCUUUAUUGUUAGUGGAAUCUACAUUUUCAGGUGUUCUAAAAAACUGGUCCUCACUGAUGGAGGUCACUGCUGAUAUGUCAUUGGAGGUUCACUAUUACAAUGAAACCUAUGCAGUGUGGGAGCCAUUUAUUGAACGAGUUGAAGGAGGAAAGAAGCAAUGGAAUUUAAAGCUGGAGAUGAGGACUAACCCUGUCCAGGAGAGAAGUCUGCUGCCUGGAGAUGAUUUCAUUGUUAUUCCUGAGCCACAAACUGUAAUUAAUAUCUCUUCGAUGGAUACCAUGAAUAUAACAAUAUCCAAAUGUUGUCUUGCUGUUUUCAGUAACCUAGCCAAGGCAUUUUCAGAAGCAACUGCAUCCACCUUUGACUAUUCCUUUAAAGAGACAGCACCUUUCGUAGUGAAAAAUGCCCUGGGUGUUUCUCUGAAAGUUCUUCCUAGCUCCAAUUUUCGGAUAGUGGAUUCAGUUGCAAAAGAAACCAUGAAUGAAAUAGAAACUGGUCAGAGCAUGGAACUGGAAUACUCUGUUUUUGAAGCACCCCAGCGAGGAAGGUUGUCUGCAUUGUACCGACAGGAAAGCUCUGUCUUCUCUUUAAAUUUAGAACUUCAGGGAUAUAAAGAGGUGCUCAGCAUUCCUGUGGCCAAGCCAGGCAGGCGCCUGUACAAAGUCAGGGAGGCUGCUGAUCACUCACACUCCAUUGUUGUGCAGAUUGAUGCUACAGAAGGAAAUAAGGUCAUUACUGUGCGCUCCCCUCUGCAGAUUAAGAAUCAUUUCUCAAUUCCAUUUGUGAUCUAUACACUGACUAAAGGCUCCAGGUCGCUGAAGCCAAUUGGCAUAUCCAAGCCAGAAGAGGAGUUUCAUGUUCCUCUGCAGUCAUACAGAUGCCAUCUGUAUGUCAGACCAACAGGAAUAUUUGAGGGUCAGUUCAAGGAGUCUACAACUUACAUUGCCUGGAGGGAAGAGCUACACAGGAGCAAUGAAGUCAAGUGCUUGUUACAGUGCCCAGCCACUGAGACCAGUUUCUUGCCUCUAAUAAUCAGCUCAACAGCUGUACCUGAUGAACUAAAUUUUAUUUCAAGUUCUGUAGAGGAGUUGGAUCCUGCCUACAUUAUCCACCUUUACCCUACACUGACUGUGAGGAAUCUUCUACCAUACUCCUUGAGGUAUUUACUUGAGGGAACCGCAGAAGCCCGUGAAUUAACUGAAGGGAGCGCUGCAGAUGUUUUUAAUUCAAGAAUCAAUGGAGAGAUAAUGGAGCUUGUGUUGCUAAAAUAUCAAGGCAAAGACUGGCACGGCCAUCUUAAAAUCUGUGAUGGGAUGCCUGAAUUUUUUCCUGUGCGUUUCACAUCUCAUUCUGUCUCAGAGAUGUCUGUGGAUGUUUACAUCCAUUCCAGGCGGAUCGGGAGCCACAUGGUCUUGUCCGUGUUCAGUCCCUACUGGAUCAUCAACAAGACUUCUCGUGUUCUCCAGUACAGAGCUGAAGACACUCACGUGAAGCAUCCAGCAGACUACAGAGAUAUUGUUUUGUUUUCAUUCAAAAAGAAAAAUAUCUUUAGUAAGAACAAGAUCCAGCUCUGUAUUUCAACUAGCACUUGGUCCAAUAGCUUUUCCCUCGAUACUGUAGGAAGCUAUGGAUGUGUCAGGUGUUCAUCUAAUUACAUGGACUAUCUGGUCGGAGUUAGCAUCAGAAUGAGCAGUUUCAACCUUACUAGGAUAGUUACCUUCACACCAUUCUACACAAUAGCAAACAAAUCUUCUCUGGAACUUGAAGUUGGAGAAAUUGGUCCUAAUGGUUCUCUUCCAACUAAUAAAUGGAAUUACAUCUCAGCUUCAGAGUGUCUUCCAUUUUGGCCUGAAAACUCUUCUGGUGAACUUUGUGUAAGAGUAGUUGGCUUUGAAAGCUCAUCCAAACCAUUCCUUUUUAAAGCCCAGGAUAAUGGUACUCUGCUGAAACUGGAAGAAUUGAAUGGGGGCUUGCUGGUAGAUGUGAAUGUCUCAGAGCAUUCUACUGUGAUAAGUUUCACGGAUUACCACGAGGGAGCUGCCCCAGCUCUGAUUGUUAACCACACCCCAUGGGACUCUCUCAGAUAUAAACAGAGUGGAUUACAAGAGGAAAUGGAGUUGAAACCAAAGCAAGUAUGCCUCUUUGCCUGGACAGAUCCAACCAAACCGAGAAAAUUUACUUGGGGUUACUCUCAAAGUUUUGGUGAACAUGACCUACUUAAGGAUGACUGUGGCCAGUUCCCUUACAAUGCAAAUACUCAAAUUCACUGGGUGUCUUUCCUGGAUGGACGCCAGCGAGUGCUGCUUUUCACAGAUGAUGUGGCAUUGAUUUCUAAAGCACGGCAGGCAGAGGAGCUGGAGCAACCUGAUCAAGAAAUAAACCUGUCAAUCCAUAGUCUUGGACUUUCUCUAGUUAACAAUGAAAAUAAAAAGGAAAUCUCUUACAUAGGAAUUACUAGUUCUGAUGUUGUUUGGGAACAGAAACCAAGGCAAAAGUGGAAACCAUUUAAUCAAAAGCAAAUAAACCUAUUGGAACAAGCAUAUCAAAAAUAUCUCUCCAAGAGUGCUUUCCAAGGUCCUGGCUGGCAUAAACUGGACAGCAAUACUGAGGUGAAUUUCAGUAAGUCUCCAAUGGAAAUGCGUCUCCCUGUCAGAUGCAGCAUCCGCCGUAACUUCCUGUCAGGAAUUCAGGUUGAAUUCAAACAGUCACCUCACCAAAGAAGUUUACGGGCUCAGUUGUAUUGGCUGCAGGUUGAUAAUCAAUUACCAGGAUCAACGUUUCCUGUUGUAUUUCACCCUGUGGCCCCUCCCAAGUCGAUUGCUUUGGAUUCAGAACCAAAACCCUUCAUUGAUAUCAGCAUCAUCACUAGAUUCAAUGAAUACAGCCAAGUCCUGCAGUUCAAGUACUUCAUGGUUCUUAUCCAGGAAAUGGCACUGAAAAUUGAUCAAGGAUUUUUAGGAGCACUUAGUGAACUUUUCACUCCAUCUACAGAUCCAGAAGCUGAAAGACAAAGGUCUAAACUAAUUCAGCAAGAUGUGGAUGCACUUAACACCGAGCUAAUGGACUCUUCCCUAACAGACCUGUCAAUGCUCAGCUUCUUUGAACAUUUCCAUAUUUCUCCAAUUAAGUUGCAUUUGAGUUUGUCUCUGGCUUCUGGUGGAGAAGCAUCAGACAAGGGGGAAGAAAUGAUAGCCAUCCAUUCUCUGAAUUUGCUGUUGAAAAGUAUUGGAGCUACUCUAACAGAUGUAGAUGAUCUUAUUUUCAAACUUGCUUUCUUUGAAAUUAAAUACCAGUUCUACAAGACAGAUCAACUGAGGACGAGAGUUAUUAGACAUUAUAGUGAACAAUUCCUGAAACAGAUGUAUGUUCUUGUACUUGGAUUAGAUGUUCUUGGAAAUCCAUUUGGGUUGAUCAGAGGUUUGUCUGAGGGAGUUGAAGCUUUCUUCUAUGAGCCAUUUCAGGGUGCUGUUCAAGGACCUGAAGAAUUUGCUGAAGGCUUUGUAAUUGGUGUUAGAAGUCUUCUUGGGCACACAGUGGGUGGUGCAGCAGGGAUGGUGUCCAGGAUCACUGGUACUGUUGGCAAAGGCUUGGCUGCCAUUACUCUGGAUGAAGAAUUUCAGCAGAAAAGGAGAGAGGAAAUGGGUCGGCAGCCAAAAGACUUUGGGGAGAGCCUGGCCAAAGGAGGAAAAGGCCUGUUACGGGGUGUUGUUGGAGGUGUGACAGGCAUCAUCACUAAACCAGUAGAAGGGGCUAAAAAAGAAGGAGCAGCUGGAUUCUUUAAAGGAAUUGGGAAGGGGCUUGUAGGAGUGGUAGCCCGCCCGACAGGAGGCAUUGUGGAUAUGGCAAGCAGCACCUUCCAGGGAAUUCAAAGGGUGGCAGAAUCAACUGAAGAAGUGUCAAAUCUCCGUCCCCCACGCCUCAUCCGUGAGGAUGGCAUCAUCCGGCCCUACAACAGGGUGGAAGCUGAGGGAUAUGAUUUAUUUGAGCAAGAACUGGAAUAAUGGAGUAAACAUUUUCCAUAUUUCUUGCCUGUUUCUGUCAUGGUUUUUCAUCUGCCUUCAAUAUUUAGAUAAAGGGCAUGAUUGCAUUUACUAUGUCCUCUCCCCUUCUUCUCUAUCUUUUCUGUGUAGCAGUUAAAUAAAUCAGUCUUUCAUGUUGUCCAGGCUCAGAAAACAAACUUGAAUAACCAUCUUCAGUAAGAUUAAAUGAUUGAGUCAGAUGGGAGAGACAGGGAGGGGUUUUUGUCUGUAUAAUUAUUUCUCUGAGGAUGCUUAGCUCCUUAUGAAUGGCAGCAAAGGAAGGCACUUGGAAAAAAGAUUCACAGUAGGUUAGGUCUUGAAUUUAUUUAUUUAUUGGUGCUCUCCUAGAGUUGGGGCUGAGGGGCAGAGCAACAUCUUGAGCAAAAUUUGAAAUACUGAGAGUGAAUGGAAUUUACUUCUGGGAAAAUACUUGUAAUUUCAUGACCUAGAAGUAUGGAUUUCAUAGAAAUGCUGAGAAAACCUGUACUUGUGUUUUCUGUACUAUGCCAUGGGCCUGUCAGCUCCACAUCUGCUGACCCACUAUGCCUUCAAGUUCCUACUGCUGGUUCUUUAUGAACUUUGCUCAGUUAAAAAACACAGCUGGCUUAGUUGACUCUGGUUUUUAUUCACAGAAUUCCAGGGGUUUUGCUCUUAAACAUAAAUUAAGUAUAAACUUUCAGCUGUUAACAGGAGUUUGCACAUACACAUACACACGUAUAAAUAAGAAUAUAUGUAUUUCUAUACAAAGCAAUGCCAUAAAUUUCAUUACUAAUACAGCAUCUUAGAAAUUAGCAAGCAAUGCUUAACAAGCUGUUGUCAGAGCAAAUUUUUUGCCUAUCAUAUGGGAAAAAAUGCUUAACAAAAACACCUUUGCUGGUAAUGCCUUUUAGAAUGUAAUGGUCAAUUUAAAAUUAUUUUUUAAAAAAUAGUGGUUUUUUUAAGAGGAUUAAAUUAAAUUAAGUUGUGAUAUUCUAAGCAGGCCAAAUUUUUCUUCUUGAGUUUUUUUUGUUUGGUUUUUUUUUUUAUUAUGUUUUUUACAUCUAGCAAAAAGGAAAAGUUAGCACAAUCAACAGAGAAAAUUUGAUAUUAUGCAGUUCCUCCACGUCUAGUAUUUGUAUUCUUCUUAAAAGGUGUAGAUGGGAACUGGAUACAAAACAGGAAUGAAUUCUUUCCACAGUUCACUAAAUGUGGUUUGUUUCUUUCAACAAAUCACUUAAUGGGAUACAGGAGAGUUUAAGUGUUCUUGAUUUUUGUGCUAGAGGUCAGUGUUGGGAAGGCUUUGUCUUCGAAUGAAAGUUAGCAAGCAAAGUAAAGCAAAACAGGACAAUGUCUUUACAUGAAAUUGGAUAUUUAAUGAAAAAGAUGAGUCAGAAAGUCAGUUCUACGUGCAUUUACAAAUUUAAUCACAAUAGGUACAAGUGCUGUUUCUUUCUGGAUCCACUUUUGAUCCUAUGUUACAAGUAGUUUAAUCAGAACCCACACCUUCUCAUCUACUUUAACUACGUUUAAUGCAUAUGUCCCUUUAAAAUAAAUACAGGCUCACAGACUGGAAACCUUGUAAGGUUACCUUAUGGAACAGAUGCCUCAAUAGCAUCUGGUGAUUGGAUGGAAAAAUGUUUUAUCUAAUUACUUUUGUGUGAAAUGUGGGCAUUAGAGCUUGUCUUAGAGGAGCAAACAUGUAGGUUUUAAAAGAAAAGGUACUUUUUCCACUGGAAAGUGGGGGUUUUGUUGCAAACUGAGGUCCAUAGCCAGGUGGAGUAGAUCAGUUCAGUUGUGUAAACUUGUUUAUGCAGCUCCUUGUCCCAGAAAUGCUGGAUCUAAUGUAUGUGGGCUGUGUAGGGAUGUGCUCAGUCAAUGCAAAACGUGGGCAGCCAGCUCUGCCAUGGUGCAGGCUGUACCUCAGCGCUGGGAGUGAGGCUGAGUAGUACAACAUGUGUUUAACAAAACAUCAAUGCACAGUGGAGCUGGAGCACUCCAAGGACAAACAGGGCAGCUCUAGGAGGAUUGUUUCCCAAGGAAUCAUUUCUCAAGUGUUUUAAUCAUGGUCUGAGGGGUGUUGGAGUUGAGGUUUGCUGGAGCAGGUGGUGGGAGCCUUUGGUGUGGGGGCGCUUUGCCCUGUGCUCGCCGGGCUGUGCCCAGUGAGGGGCUGCUGCUUAUCCAGCUCCUCAGGGCUGCCAUGAUGGCACUCAUUACUUAUUCAAUGCCAGUGGCAUCACUCUUUUCCACAUCCCAGUUAAAGCAUGGAGCUUUAUAUAGAAUGCAGAUCACCUUAUGAACAGAGUCAGGGUGGUGAGACAGUGUUGUGUGGCAGAGCAUAGACUAUACUGGAAACUGCAGAUUCUAUUUCUGCUUGACUCAAUGUUCUGCUGUGUGAAUUUGCAUUGGUUCUUUCAUUUCCGUGUAAAAUAAGAACGAGUUAACUUCUUCAAAGUGCUCUAGUAUGCUCAUAAAAAUAACAGCUUUUAUAAAGAUGUCAAAAUUUUACAUCUGUGUGUGCAGAUCAUGGGAUAAUUUACAUCGAGUGCAACCCCCUUUUUUAACUAAUGCAACCACCAUUGUGCUGGCAUCUAUCAGGUGUAUUGAGAAUAUCUCUGAGAAAUACUCUGUCUUUUAGGCACAGGCCUCAGUGGGAACUCUUGCUUUGGUAACAUAUUGCAUGUAACAUCUAAAAACACUACUGGGAUUGUUUCUGAAGUUAUGAGAAACAGGCUUUCUCUCUGAAGCUUAGAGUUUGAAUAGAGAAACAUGCUUAUGAAUAAAUCUAUUUAAAUAUUUGGCAUGUCUAAGUUCUUCAUAUUCAACAAAAGGAUUCAGAAUAUGGAUUGCAGCCUUUGAAUAACAGUCUUCACAUGGUGAUGGGUUUUCUAUUCCUUCAAUUUUUUACUUGUUUUCGAAGAAGCUAAGGUUCAGGUAUAAAAUGUGAGUUCAUGUUUUCAUUUUAGUCAUAUGCUGCUGUGUUUCUUCUAAUGUUUUGAAGAGACUUUGAAAUGAGCAGUCUAUCUGGCAUCUUUGUUUCCUUUCAUGUACAUUGUACAGUUUCAGAAAUUUUUAAGAUAGUCAGAAAGGGAUAUUUUUUUUAGAAGAUGUUGGUUGACCCUAUGGUUUUGGUUGCUGAAAAAUACUAGAUUAAAAUGUAUUUCAAAAUGUAACAUCACUGGAGAGCAAGUCCAGGAAAACACGAUGCUGUUGAUUUCAGCUCUUGAAUAUUCAUCCACUUUUGAGAUUAAAGGAUUUUUUGGAGCCAGUUGUGAUGUAUGAUGAUGCUUUAAGAUAUUUGUUGAACUUUUGAAUAUAUGAAAAUAAAAUGCAAAUAUAAAAAAAGAGUCAAACCUUCUUUUAAUUGAUUCUUAUGUAAGCUGAUCUUUCAAUUUUGGUUACUUAAACUGCAGAGUUAAACCUGUUAAUCACAGGUAGCUUUGGAGUCAAGUGGAACCACUAUUGUCAUCUCAUGGGUUUUAUGGGUCCAUCUAAGGAAAUAAAAAAGAAACUGCUAUUUACAAGAAAUAACUAAAAGACAUAGUGACUUUUUAGUCCUUCGUCUUUAGGUUAUUACUAGUUUGUCAGAAACUUGAGGAAUGAGAACUUAAGGAAUUUGCUGUUAUUGAGGCUAAAUUCCACCAUAACAGCUGUAAAAUGAACUGAAAGUCAUCUUACUUUUCUCUGAAUAAUAUCAAACCAGUUUUGGGGCACCCAUUUGUGAAAGGUUGAUUUGAAGUGCAUUCAUUCUGCAUCCAGGCACUCUUCCUUAUGUUUCCCCAUGUUUCUACACAGGAACUGCCCAUUUUCCCUUAAAACAGAUUGUAUCAUAAAAAAGGUGCUUGUAUUGACCUGGAGGGUUCAAAGCUAAUAUGCAUUGACUUUAUACUUAUAUAAUUGUCUUGCUAAUUUUUGCUAAUUAAACAUUUUUUAUAAAUAUUGUUUUUAAAGACUUACUGCAUAUUAGGAAAACCAGUAGUUGUCACAGGUUUAUUCUCACACCCACUUUGAGGCUGGGUUCCCAUUGGUAGCAUAUCAUUAAUUCCAUACUUUUAUCUUUUUCUGCAUGAUCUUUUGAUGUGUAUUCCUUUCCCACAAAUACAUUCAGGUAUCACUCUGUGUCUUGCUGCCUUUAAUCCAGUGUUACUGGGAGCUUGACGUGGGGCUGACUGUGAGCCUGUCUUCUGUGCUGCUCUGUGUUGUUGAUGGAAUGUUGUAAUCCUGGUGACAUGCUUAGUCAAAGAAAGUUACACAUCAGAAAGCUGGAAAAAGAGGUGUAUUGUUACCACUGUGCAAUUCCAAGAGGCAGAAGAGCAAACCUUAUCAUUACCAA